rnacentral:rRNA from 1 species
AUAGCCGCAGUAUCCUAACUGUGCUAAGGUAGCAUAAUAAUUUGUCUUAUAAUUGAAGACUGGAAUGAAAGAAUGUAUAAUACUAAGCCUUUUUUAAUUUAUAAUUGGAAAUUGAUUUUUACAUCAAAAAGUGUAACUUUUUAAAAAGACGACAAGACCCUAUAAAACUUUAUUAAUAUUUUUACUCAAAUUUAGAAAAAUUAAUAAAAAUUUAAUUAAGCUGGGGCGGCAUCUAAUCAUUCUUAAGAAAAUUUAACAUUUUAAAUGAAUAAAAAGAUCUUUUUAAGAAAUAGAAUAAGUUACUUUAGGGAUAACAGCACAAUUUUUCCGUAUAGAUCCUAUAGAAGGAAAAGACUUGUGACCUCGAUGUUGAAUUGAGAGGCCUUAUUUAAGCAAAAAUAAAUAAAGGGGGUCUGUUCGACCUUUAAUUUCUCA